ensembl:lncRNA
AAGCCAAUUAGAGUUAACUUGACUUCACAGGAUUUAGGGGUUAUGAACUCAAGGCAUCCCGACACUACAAGUUAAGGGUGUGGACAGGAGUGUUGCUUACACGCAGCAAAAGGUUAUUUUGCCAUCUGCUACUCGCUCCUUUAUAGCCAUUCUCGGGCUAGUAAUAGAUCAAAACCAGGUAUAAUAGGUGCCAGCCUCACACGGGCACCAGAAUAAUGUUGGACAUUCCCUUGUGGAUGGACGCCAAAAAAAUGGGAAUCACACGCUACCUGCAGCAGAGCCGUUGCAUCACUGGGAGUGGCCUGAAAGUCCUUGGAGAAGAGUCCAUCUGGAUUAUGCUGGUCUACUCAUGGGUCACAUGUUAUUGUAAUAGAUUCCUAUUCCAUUUAGAUGAGCUGUUACAGUGCUCUUACACAAUGCUACCUGAUUUAUCAUUUAGAUGAGCUGUUACAGUGCUCUUAAACAAUGCUAUGGUGAAUUUCAAGAUUUUAUGAAGGGUAAUGGAAUUUACCAUAUGACAUGCAUUCAUUGAACGCAAGUUGGAUGUUCUUCAAAAAUGAAGUGACUGCACAUUUUCCUCAGCAUUUAAAGUCAGAUAUUCUUGGAAAACGAAGCAGAGAGCUUGGUGUAACUUUAUGAAUUUGUAUGUAUUUGAACAUUUUACCCAUUUACGUCAUUAUAUAAGGGAA